AUGCACAUUCUCAUGUACACCCACACUAACACAUACGUGGGGAAGGAAGGCAGCCUCACAGGAGCCUUCCAGCUCCAGCCUCAGGGCAGCAGGGAGGUCCCCCAGAGCCCGGCUCAGCCCAGCCAGCUGCACACCCUCCCACCCACCAUCGAGGCGCUGGCCACGGGCACAGAGCGGCGAGGAUGGGCAGCCGUGACGAGCUUCCGGCUGAGAGGGUGUCGGGAAAUUGCCACGCCCUUCGUGUUCAGAACGUUGCCUGUGUGCAGCGAGGGCGCCUGGCCUUGGGCUGAGCCUCGCGGGCGUCACCAGCACCCUCCUAGGGGCACGUUAGCAGGCAGCUGGAUCAGAAGUGGAGCUGCUGGGACUUUAACUGACACUCACUUGGGAUGCCGGCAUCAUGGCUGGCAACUUAACCAGCUGCACCACAAGGCCAGCCCAGAGUAUCUACGUGUCUCUGAGCACUGUGCACACAGCAGUGAACAAGACAGGCCAUUCGCCUCAAGCAUCCAUUCAGGAAGGGGAAACAGAGAGGGUGAACAAAAUGCGUCCCCGAGCUGGUGUCUGAGAGCGCUUUCAGGAAAAAAAAGAAAACAGGAAAAAAGCAUCCAAGGCCCCAACCUCCAUGUAAGCGGAUCCCGAGGAGCCUGUGGCCGUGGGCUCAGAACGACUUCACUGAACACGGUGGUGAGGGUGAGCAGCUCCAGGCCAGGCCAGCGCCAGACGUGGGCUUUCCAGCCGACCAAGAUGUCACCGUCUCUGGAAACAGUUGACUAAGGAGUCCCAAACCUCCAACAGCAUCUGAGCUCAUCUGCAGGUCUGCCACCUGGCUGGGAGGACCCCGGGGUGGCCCAGUGCUUGGAGGACAUCCCCCAGACCUGAGGACCAGCACCCAACACAGACAAUCAGCUGGGGUCUCCUGGGAGGCCCCACAGCCAGCAGAUCUGCUUCAUAUGCCAACUGCACCACUCCUGUAGGGGCUUCAGGCAAAACAGUCCUCAGUUUCCCCAACCGGCAAACAGGUUCAUUCAUCGCUGUCUUCUCAGGCCUCCAGCCUGGAUUUGUUCUAGCAUCAAAGAGGAUGUAUCUGGGCUGCUUUGUAAUGUGAGAGUUGUGUUCAGAACGUGGGAAAGCUCAGCAGAGUACAGCGAGGGACCAGGCUAGCUCACUACUCAGGUGAGACACAGAGGAUAACGAGCCACACCCAGACGACCGAUGAGAGAUUGGAAUAUGUAGUAUUGGGAAUGGUAGUGCUGAAUUAAAGGUAACUGUCAUUG